ensembl:lncRNA
CGACAUCACUGCAGCCAACGUGCUUGACACUGAGCUGCUUUGCUGAGGUCUGAAACAAGGGGAGCCUGAUUCCGCCUCUCCUCUGUCUCCCAUCUCACCACGACAUGCGAGACAUUGCUAACCACCACUCCCAGAGGAUCUCCUAUCCUUCUGAUCUUAGUGUAACCAAAAGUAAGACCACAGGUGACCAUGGGUAACUUGAAACCACGGACUGAGAACUACAGAGGAGCAUCCAUUCCCACUGCAAGGCUGUAACCGGACGUUAACAUGCUCAGUGGAGCUGCAGACUGAUAUGUUCACCAGCAACGAGGCCGACACAGCCAGCAUCACUGAC